GGCCAGCAGUUUUGGCAAAGGGGCUAAGUUGGUUGCAUCGACCUUAGUGCUCAACUGGUAUUUAUUUUAUCGACCCCAAAAGGAUGAAAGGCAAAAUUGACCCCAGUGGAAUUUGAACUCAGGACAUAAAGACAGACGAAAU